GAGUUUGAUCGUGGCUCAGAGCGAGCGCUGGCGGCAGGCUUAACACAUGCAAGUCGAGCGGCCGUAGCAAUACGGCAGCGGCAGACGGGAGAGUAACACGUGGGAACGUGCCUAUCAGUUCGGAACAACCCAGGGAAACUUGGGCUAAUACCGGAUACGCCCUUACGGGGAAAGAUUUAUCGCUGAUAGAGCGGCCCGCGUCUGAUUAGCUUGUUGGUGAGGUAACGGCUCACCAAGGCGACGAUCAGUAGCUGGUCUGAGAGGAUGAUCAGCCUCACUGGGACUGAGACACGGCCCAGACUCCUACGGGAGGCAGCAGUGGGGAAUAUUGGACAAUGGGCGCAAGCCUGAUCCAGCCAUGCCGCGUGGAUGAU
rnacentral:rRNA from 1 species